UACGAAGGGGGCUAGCGUUGCUCGGAAUCACUGGGCGUAAAGGGUGCGUAGGCGGGUCUUUAAGUCAGGGGUGAAAUCCUGGAGCUCAACUCCAGAACUGCCUUUGAUACUGAGGAUCUUGAGUACGGGAGAGGUGAGUGGAACUGCGAGUGUAGAGGUGAAAUUCGUAGAUAUUCGCAAGAACACCAGUGGCGAAGGCGGCUCACUGGCCCGAUACUGACGCCUGAGGCACGAAAGCGUGGGAGCAAACAGGG
rnacentral:rRNA from 1 species